rfam:Phaseolus vulgaris cultivar G19833 chromosome 6, whole genome shotgun sequence.
AUGCUUACCUGGACGACACCAAUGAGUGAUCAAGAGGCUCAUGGUGUAGGCUAGUGACUUUCAUUGCACCUGGGAGGGGUGUUGCUCUAAGGUUUGUCCAAGUGACAAAUCUUAUGUCAUAAUUUGUGGUAGAGAGGGUUUGCAUUCGCGCAACCCUGUA